rnacentral:rRNA from 1 species
UUGAGGAAUAUUGGUCAAUGGGCGAAAGCCUGAACCAGCCAUGUCGCGUGAAGGAUGAAGGUCCUAUGGAUUGUAAACUUCUUUUGCAGGAGGGUAAAGUGAGCUACGUGUAGUUCAUUGCAAGUACCCUGCGAAUAAGCAUCGGCUAACUCCGUGCCAGCAGCCGCGGUAAUACGGAGGAUGCGAGCGUUAUCCGGAUUUAUUGGGUUUAAAGGGUGCGUAGGCGGACUAAUUAGUCAGCGGUGAAAUUUUGCGGCUCAACCGUAAAACUGCCGUUGAAACUGUUAGUCUUGAGUGCGGUAGAGGUAGGCGGAAUGUGUGGUGUAGCGGUGAAAUGCUUAGAUAUCACACAGAACACCGAUUGCGUAGGCAGCUUACUGGAGCGCAACUGACGCUGAGGCACGAAAGCGUGGGGAUCGAACAGGAUUAGAUACCCUGGUAGUCC